GGAAAUUUAGGCAUUUGUGUGGAUGAGGGACUGCAGAGUGGAACAAAUAGAGUGCAGAAGACCCCUUGGGGGGCUCUUGGAAGAUAUCAGGCAGGUGAUAGCCGGGGCUCCUUCUGGGAGGAUGGCUGUUGGGAUGUAGCCGAGAGAAUACCACAGAGGCAAAAUCUGGAGGAUUUGAUCCUGGAUUGAAUGUGGGAGAACCUGGUGCUGUGAAGUUAGCUUCACUUGAAAGUGUGUUUGAGAAAUGGAAGAAAACCCUGCAUAGAAGGGGCAAGGAGCUGAGCACUUGGGGUCUGCUUCCUGGGCUUCUGCCCAGGUAAAACAGGGAAAUGGAGCCCGGGAGUGAAGAGAGUGGGAUGGAGGUGAUCAGCAAACGCAUCCUGGAGGAGGAAGUAAGACCCUGGCUGCAGCUUGAAAGCAGCCACUUAUCAAUUCAACAGGCGUUUAUUAUGCAUGAGGCGCUGAGCUUGGAGUGGGGAUCUGGCUUAUGAAUUGAUUGAUGGAUGGAGGAUGAUUAGUCCUUCAAUCCAGUCGGGAUGAAAACCUUCAGGAUAACUGAAGAAGACAGUGGAGCUGAUGCUUAGCCCCUCCAGAGAAGGGUCACUGGGAGACAGACACUGAACGUGAGUGGCUUAGACAAGGACAGCCACACGGCCGCUUCAGCUCCUACAUUCUUCCCUCUGUUCUUUGACUCAGAACAGGUCUCAUAAUUAAAAUUCAUCCAGCUGCCUUCUGUCCCAAGUCAAGUGGUCCAUGGAGUUCUUCCCCCACCCGUAUUCUUCAAAAGCAGAAGUGGGCAUUGUGCAGCCGAGAGAGACCAGGGACCAUCAUUUGCAUGUUUUCUUGAGACUGUUAGCUGUCACAAAGGAUUGAGGUUUCAUUUCCCAACAAAUGAACAUUCGACACAGCGUUGGAGGGAGUGUGAACUUUGGGCUAGUGUGUUUUUCCUCUGGUGCCUUGUCAUGAAGGACUCUGAAAAUUAAUUCCAGAUCUAACUCCCACCCACAAACAAGGCAAUCAGGAUGUUUUAAACAGAAUAUUUCAAAUUGUUCUUGAUUGGGCACUCAGAAUAUUUCACAUGUAUGUGUUAGUAUGUUCUUGAAGCAUUUCUGGGAUGUAGGUGAGUGGCAGGUACUGCUGAAUAAGGGAAUCACUGUCACUCUCCUGAUGAAGGCUACCCAGAAGUUAAUCGGGCUACCUUGGGGGAUAGUCCUUUCUCAAGAGGUCUUCAUGGAACAUCUGAAUGACCAAUUGUUUGGGGGGACUUCUGGAAGGGAUUUCUGCUCAGGUGUGGGUUGGUCUAGAGGAUCUCUAAAGCUCCUUGUGCUUCCAGGAUUCUGUAAGCUGGGCCGCGGUCCAGACUGUCCAAAAUGCACUCUUUCCUCUCCCCUGCUUUACUAGGUGCCUUGUGAUAUCUCCAACGGGCACGGGAUUGGUCCUACUUAGAGAGACAGAGUUGUUUUUCUUGAGAUCACGUACAGGUGUCCAGCC